AUGUUACAAAUCGCAACGUUGAAAGUAAGUGAUUCACCAUCUACCAGCGUAACGUAAUAAAUGGUUGAUCCCUAAUUAGCGAAAUGAUCAAUUUAUUCCGUUCAAAGUUUGUAGAUAGAAGAUGUGAUCUUGUUAAGCAUUUUAUUGCUAUGUUUUUGCAGCAGAAAAUUUGACAAAUGCAAAGAAGUGUAGAUGUGUGUGCAGUAUGCUGUGACUUGGGUUGAAAUAUCUGUAUGUUUUGUACACACUUCUUCGAAUGAUCAACUCGGAUAUUUUGCAUCAAAUUCUGCAAUGGUUUUGAUGAUGGUUUUUUCCAACAGUCUGUAAUUGGUGAACGAAGUGUUAAUGGAGCGAUGGAACGUUUGGAUGCCGCUUGUUGCGAGCAGUCAUGAAGCCUUCAUCAACUAUACUUAUAUUACCAAAGGAGAUCUGAUAUGAGUGAAGUAUUCCCUUGUGUGAUCAUCAAUAACCAUCGUCACGUUCCCGUUCGUGUAAGCUCUAAAGCCUUGAUCAUCUGUUGAAUCGCUUUAUGCCGGCAACGUUAGAAUGAUAGCGGCGUCUCAUGGCUGGCGUAUGUUGAAGGCGAAGGAAACAGCGUGUUCCACUUGCUAGCUCAUGGAAAGAAUGACAAAGUUUCGUCGCCAUAAGAAUACCAUAGCCUUUGACAAAAUUCAGAUGCAUACUACGUUUCAGAUUGAAAUGAAGAAAAUGAAACAUUUCCAGCCGAACAAUGGCAUCGAACUGAAACGAAAAAGUUGAUACACUUCCACCCGCAUUCAGAGCAACACAGUGACACGGCACGAAAGAUAUGAAUGGUUGGCUUAAUUAGUGUUUCGCAUUUGCGACGGGCGUAGCAAUAAAAGUGGGUAAGAUGUAGAUUUAUUUUAAUUGAUGCUAGUAAACUUUCCUUUGCACGGCAGAAUACUUCCUGACAUCUGGUGCAUUUAAUAUAAACGAUUGAUGUUGCCGAUGAUUAAAUUACGAAAAGAGUUAAUCAAGAUUGUUUUUUAAAAUUAUUAACAUAUAUUUUUGAUAAAAAAAGUGGUUAAAAUUAAAAAUAAAAAAGGAUAAUUUUGAUUUUUAUUCAUUCAUUUAUAUAUUUUAUCAAUAUCUAUACCAAUACAGCUUAUAACCACAGAAACCAAAUGUUUUUUUUUAAAUAAGCUCUACUGCUGAUAUAUUUAUACACCUCUAUAACACUAACAUUGGACACAAUUCUCCAAACAGCCAUUACCAACCACAGAAUAAUGCAGGAAAAAUUGUGUCCAUUCUCGAAAAUUUGCUACACGAUUGUAAAAAAUAAAUAGAGGAAAAAACGACCAUCCCUUACCAGAAUAUGUUUCUACUCGUAUUUUGUAUGCCCUAGAGAUUGCAAGCGGCACACUCCAUUUAUAUGGUUGCAAUUGCGUCCAUUCUUCACAUGAAAGUUGACCAUGUUGAACACAUGUAAUGGUCACAGCUGGACUAAAGAACCUUAUAAAUAGGAUUAUUUUCGUUUCCGAUGUGUGCGUGUGUGGACACCUCUUUUUUGUGGCAUUUUUUAUGAUAAAUAUUUUUUUUAUUAUUGAAAUGGAAUUCAAUAACAUAUUUUGAACUAUUGAACUACGAAAUGGAUGUACUUCUUGUGUAUAAAAAAGCUGCUUAUUGUAAUUCAUAUCGUGCUUGAUAGAACAAACAAAUUGGAGAUUUUCAUUUUUAUACUUUUUAAAUAUACUUUUUUGACUGCAUAAAUCAUAUGUUGUGGUUUAAUGAUCUAAACACUAAAACCAUAAAAAGAGUAUCAUUUUUUCAUUUUCUUUAACCUGCCAUAGGAUGUAAACGAGCUGGAAAAUCUACUAAAGUCUAUAAAUUACCUGUGGUUGUUGAUGAUAUAUUCAAAGAGAGGGUUGUCUACAUUUCGUUUUUCUAACAGGGUUCCAAAUGCUAUAAAAAUGACCAUCAUUGUGCGCUGAUAUCAGGUUUUUUUCCUGGAAAACCUUCCUGAUAUUCCCUAAGGAGUGAUUUAAGAAAGGAAUCAAACAUCCCUUACUUAUAUAUGAAGAAACAUAAUCGCGUGCAACAUUCAGUGAUGAUGAUUAUUUCUAAAUUGUAUUGACCACGUGAACUAACUUCUGGCUUCAUAUGGACCAAGUAAACGCCAGGGGUUUCAAGAAAUUCCCACAUGAAAACUGUAAUGAAUGGUUAAUAUUACCCGUAUCAUGUCCACUAUUUUCGAUAUACAAGCUUCUAAUUCUAUUUUUUCUUA